CUACGGGGGGCAGCAGUAGGGAAUUUUCCACAAUGGGCGAAAGCCUGAUGGAGCAACGCCGCGUGCAGGAUGAAUGCCUUAGGGUUGUAAACUGCUUUUAUAUGUGACGAUUAUGACGGUAGCAUAUGAAUAAGGAUCGGCUAACUCCGUGCCAGCAGCCGCGGUCAUACGGAGGAUCCAAGCGUUAUCCGGAAUUACUGGGCGUAAAGAGUUGCGUAGGUGGCAUGGUAAGUAGAUAGUGAAAGCGUGUGGCUCAACCAUACUUACAUUAUCUAAACUGCUAAGCUAGAAGACGAGAGAGGUAGAUGGAAUUCCCAGUGUAGGAGUGAAAUCCGUAGAUAUUGGGAGGAACACCGAUGGCGUAGGCAGUCUACUGGCUCGUUCUUGACACUAAGGCACGAAAGCGUGGGGAGCAAACGGGAUUAGAUACCCUCGUAGUC
rnacentral:rRNA from 1 species